rnacentral:rRNA from 1 species
GAUGAACGCUGGCGGCGUGCCUAAUACAUGCAAGUCGAUCGAACAGACGAGGAGCUUGCUCCUCUGAUGUUAGCGGCGGACGGGUGAGUAACACGUGGAUAACCUACCUAUAAGACUGGGAUAACUUCGGGAAACCGGAGCUAAUACCGGAUAAAAUGUUGAACCGCAUGGUUCAACAGGGAAAGACGGUCUUGCUGUCACUUAUAGAUGGAUCCGCGCCGCAUUAGCUAGUUGGUAAGGUAACGGCUUACCAAGGCAACGAUGCGUAGCCGACCUGAGAGGGUGAUCGGCCACACUGGAACUGAGACACGGUCCAGACUCCUACGGGAGGCAGCAGUAGGGAAUCUUCCGCAAUGGGCGAAAGCCUGACGGAGCAACGCCGCGUGAGUGAAGAAGGUCUUCGGAUCGUAAAACUCUGUUAUUAGGGAAGAACAAAUGUGUAAGUAACUAUGCACGUCUUGACGGUACCUAAUCAGAAAGCCACGGCUAACUACGUG